CCUUACUGAGGAGUUGGCAACACUGGAUUACUGAGACAGAGGGUUGGUGUUUAGCUUCCACUAACAGAGCCUAGUCUAUUCCUUACGUCUUCUCUGAACGAAAUGGACCACUAUUCUCAUAAUUGCUCUGAUGACUUGGAUACAUUUUGGGAUGAGUCGAGUAAUACAUGUGUGCCAUGUCAUCAACAUAAUCCGAUCCGACCAGGGUACGAAUUUAGUCCAAACUGUGGAAGGCAUGAUGAUGGGGGAAGAUCGGAAAUACCGUAUCGACCGUGUGUCGCCGCCCAGAGCUUCAAUAACGGGAGCUUCGUGAAAUGCCAACCCUGUUCUCGCUGCGCUCCAAAUCAUCAAAAGCUGUCCGAAUGCAACGCAACGACAGACACGCAAUGCUGCGUAGCGAGGGACCAGACACGGUGUUGGAAAGGAGCCCUGAGUACCACGACUCGACAGGUCCAACGGUCAACAACAUUAAGGUUCCAAGUGUCAACAUCAAAUCCCACCACAGCCAAACACAUUGAUCAAAGAUUACUUAGUGAUUCUGCAACUUCACAUGUCAACCAUCAGACUGCAUGGAUAGUGCUUACUGUCGUCUUGGUUUUCUCUGUACUUGCAUUUCUCUUAUUCAACUAUAUUAAGACGAGAAGGAGAAGAUCAAGACCUUUUUGCUUCAGAGAUAUGGAGAAUACCCACCAACGGUCACGGAGCAAUAAGACAACAGCAGCUGUCAAUGAAGAGGUUGCUCUGCUACAGUCAGAGACCAGGAGCCUAGAGGACAUUUUGAGUUCUGACCUCCAGUCUGCGCCACUGCAGACGGUUCUGGACAACCUGGAUGUUCUAGAGGAGCUUGUGAUCCUGCUGGACCCGGAGAGCCCUGGGGUGAAGAACACCAGCCACCUAGCAUCUCGCUGCUCCUUCCCCGCCACCUGGAUUACCUACACCUACUCCCUGAGGGAGAGCAAGAGCCCCCUGAGGGCCGUGCUGGAGGGGGUCACCACCAAACACCCAGAGUGGACUGUAGGACACCUGGCCAGGUUGCUGAGAGAGAUGGACCGGAACGACGCAGUGGUGGUGCUCACCAAGCUCAGCUUGCUUAAGGUUGUCUAAUCUGGAUGUGUUCUGUGUUGGGUCCGGAAGAGAUGGCUCCAUCCAGAUACAACUGCGAGUCUCUACCCCCUGCCAACUCACAGAUAUGUGACUCGUUUCAGGAAACUAGGUGUAUGUCACGACUUCACAGGAGAGGCAUUUUCCUGGGGGACACCGAAGUCCCAAGGCAGUGAUUGGGAACACUGCUCCUUUGCAUUAAGGUUCAAAAAAGAUAUUUAUCUUCCAUAAAUGGCACUUAAAGCACGGAUGGUAAAUCCGGUGUCCAGGCCAAGUUCCCAACCGUGGCCAACUAAUCAUUAUCAUCUUAUGUCAAAUGUAUUAUCACCAACCAAUGAUAUUGCUUUAUUUAUACAUUGCAUGUUAUAUAAAUGACAUUUCAGCAUUUAUUUGUUGUUUAAAUCUCUUUUCGAAUGACCAAGUCUGAUUUUAGGCAUAUAACAUAAAAUAAAAGUGCAUAGAAAAAUUAAACGGGUUUAGAAAUAUGUAUACAAUUAUUUACAAACUCAGGGUUUAUUUGUACAAGGUAACAAAGACAAGUUCACACAUAUUUUCAUGUCUUUAACAAUUUGUUAUACUUUAAAAUAACCCUACAGCUUUCUGAACCAGUUCUGGGAGAGAUCGUCAUGGUAACUUCAGGUUUCCAACUAGUGCUUUGCAUGUUUCAUCGAACACACAGGCCAGCUCUGCAGGACAUUAAAACCAAGUUACUCUUA